rnacentral:rRNA from 1 species
AAUCAACGCUGGCGGCGUGCCUCAGACAUGCAAGUCGAACGCUGCUGUUCGCCUUCGGGUGGACAGCGGAGUGGCGCACGGGUGAGUAACACGUAGGUAAUCUACCUUUGGGUGGGAGUAACAGCGGAACGGACGUGCUAAUACCGCAUAAUAGCAGCGGCGAUCACAUGAUGACAGUUGUUAAAGUACGAGGGAGUCGUAAGACCUCGCGCCUGAAGAGGA